UCGUAACAAGGUCUCCGUUGGUGAACCAGCGGAGGGAUCAUUACUGAGUACUACACUCUCUACCCUUUGUGAACUAUUAUACCUGUUGCUUCGGCGGCGCCCGCGAGGGUGCCCGCCGGUCUCAUCAGAAUCUCUGUUUUCGAACCCGACGAUACUUCUGAGUGUUCUUAGCGAACUGUCAAAACUUUUAACAACGGAUCUCUUGGCUCCAGCAUCGAUGAAGAACGCAGCGAAACGCGAUAUGUAAUGUGAAUUGCAGAAUUCAGUGAAUCAUCGAAUCUUUGAACGCACAUGGCGCCUUCCAGUAUCCUGGGAGGCAUGCCUGUCCGAGCGUCGUUUCAACCCUCGAGCCCCUGUGGCCCGGCGUUGGGGAUCUGCCACGGCAGGCCCCUAAAACCAGUGGCGGACCCGAAGGCCCUCUCCUUUGCGCAGUAGCAUCAGCCUCGCAUUGGGAUCCCUCGGCGUCCUGCCUCUAAACCCCCCACAAGUCCGCUCCGGCGGCACCAAGGUUGACCUCGGAUCAGG
rnacentral:rRNA from 1 species